rnacentral:hammerhead_ribozyme from 1 species
GUCCAGCUGACGAGUCCCAAAUAGGACGAAACGCUUGUCCUAGAU